rnacentral:rRNA from 1 species
CGCGUAGGCGGUGUUUUAAGUGAGAUGUGCAAUCCCCGAGCUUAACUUGGGAACUGCAUCUCAGACUGGAACGCUAGAGUACUGGAGAGGGUGGUAGAAUUCCACGUGUAACGGUGAAAUGCGUAGAGAUGUGGAGGAAUACCAGUGGCGAAGGCGGCCACCUGGACAGUAACUGACGCUGAGGCGCGAAAGUGUGGGUAGCAAACAGGAUUAGAUACCCUGGUAGUCCACGCUGUAAACGAUGAACACUUGGUGUGGCGGGAGUUGACCCCUGCCGUGCCGUAGCUAACGCGAUAAGUGUUCCGCCUGGGGAGUACGGUCGCAAGGCUGAA